UGGAGAUGAAAUACUUGAGAGUUCUACUAGCCAUCCUGUGGAUUCAUUUAAGCUGGGUGAGAAGCCAACAGAAGGAGGUGGAGCAGAAUCCUGAAUUUCUCCCUGUUUCUGAGAAAGCCAUGGCCUCUUUCAACUGUACUUACAGCAAUAGUGCUAAUCAGUACUUCGUGUGGUACAGACAAUAUUCUGGGAAAGGCCCUGAAAUGUUGGUCUCCAUAUACUCGGGCAAUGAGAAAAAUACAAAUGGAAGGUUUACAGUACAUCUCAAUAAAGCCAGCAAGCAUGUCUCUCUGCUCAUCAAGGACUCCCAGCCCAGUGACUCAGCCACCUACCUCUGUGCAGUCAGCACACAGUGCUCCCCAGGCACCUGCAGCCUGUAG